ACCAAAUUGAAAAAUUUCUUGCACGUCUAUUUUGAAACUAGUUGACACUUAGGGAUAUUAAGAAUUCAAAUCAGCCCCUUAGUCUAAGAAACAAAGGAUUUGAAAAAUUCUAAAAUGUUGGCACCGACUUUCAAAAGUUUCGAAAUCUUGGCACCAAACACCAACUUAGUCCAAUCUCACCAUCAAACAUAGCUAGCUUGAAAAGCAACUAAAUUGAAACAUUUCUUGCACCUAUAUGUUGACACUAAUUAUCAUUUGGGCAUUUAAAG
rnacentral:lncRNA from 1 species